AUUGAACGCUGGCGGCAGGCCUAACACAUGCAAGUCGAACGGUAACAGGAAGAAGCUUGCUUCUUUGCUGACGAGUGGCGGACGGGUGAGUAAUGUCUGGGAAACUGCCUGAUGGAGGGGGAUAACUACUGGAAACGGUAGCUAAUACCGCAUAACGUCGCAAGACCAAAGAGGGGGACCUUCGGGCCUCUUGCCAUCGGAUGUGCCCAGAUGGGAUUAGCUAGUAGGUGGGGUAACGGCUCACCUAGGCGACGAUCCCUAGCUGGUCUGAGAGGAUGACCAGCCACACUGGAACUGAGACACGGUCCAGACUCCGACGGGAGGCAGCAGUGGGGAAUAUUGCACAAUGGGCGCAAGCCUGAUGCAGCCAUGCCGCGUGUAUGAAGAAGGCCUUCGGGUUGUAAAGUACUUUCAGCGGGUAGGAAGGGAGUAAAGUUAAUACCUUUGCUCAUUGACGUUACCCGCAGAAGAAGCACCGGCUAACUCCGUG
rnacentral:rRNA from 1 species